rnacentral:rRNA from 1 species
UACGUAGGUCCCGAGCGUUAUCCGGAUUUACUGGGCGUAAAGGGAGCGUAGGCGGACUUUUAAGUGAGAUGUGAAAUACUCGGGCUCAACUUGAGUGCUGCAUUUCAAACUGGAAGUCUAGAGUGCAGGAGAGGAGAAUGGAAUUCCUAGUGUAGCGGUGAAAUGCGUAGAGAUUAGGAAGAACACCAGUGGCGAAGGCGAUUCUCUGGACUGUAACUGACGCUGAGGCUCGAAAGCGUGGGGAGCAAACAGG